rnacentral:SRP_RNA from 1 species
GCCAGGUGUGGUGGCUCACACCUGUAAUCCUAGCACUUUGGGAGGCUGAGGCAGGUGGAUCACCUGAGGUCAGGAGUUCGAGACCAGCCUGGCCAACAUGGCGAAACCCUGUCUCUA